rnacentral:lncRNA from 1 species
GACGUCACAAAGGGGCCCGCCCGCCUCGCGUCACCGGCUGGCGGGGCGGCGGCCAAUCCCGGGCUGCGGAUCCCCCCCUGCCCCUCCCCUCCCCUCCCCUCCCGGUUUGCGGGCCGGGCGCUCGGGCCGGGAAACGUUCUCGGAACCGGGAGGUUUCCCCAUCUGCAGAAUGGCUGGCUCCAUGCUCCCUUAACAUACCUCCCAGUCUCAACCUCAAGGCAUCGUGGUUUGUUUGUGUGAACUGCGCUUAAUGGCCCUGUCAGCAAGGAGGUGAUGAUCAGGACAGGAUUCACUUCAGAGAGAAGAGCUGGUGCUCCCAUGAAGGACCAAAUGCUAUGUGUGGAGAGGGCCACAAGAGGAGGACCCAAGAGGGACCUCUACAAGCUGAGAGUUGAGAGUGGUCCCCUGCCAACAGAAAGUGAGAAAACAGGGCCUUGCUAAUAUGGUCACAAGAAAAUGAAUUCUUCCAACAUCCAGAGGGAGCUUGGAAGUUGAUCUUUCUCUAGUCAAGCCUCCAUAUGAGGACACACCUGGCCAACACCUUGAUUUCAGACUUGUGGGAUCCCAAGCAGAGAACCCAGAUGUGCCUAGACUUCUGACUUAGAGAAUUGUGAGCUAAUAAACAGGUGCUGUCAUGAGCCCCUAGGUCUGUGGAGGUUUUGUUUGUUACACAGCAAUAGAAAAUCGAUACACGCAGGCUUCACGCCUGUAAUCCCAGAACUUUGGGAAGUCAAGGUAGG